CACAACCUGAAAUUUAUUAUGCUCGAAAUUUCCCAGAAAACAUUAUGUGCAGGCUUCUAAGCAAAGGGACGCUGUGUAGUCGUAAAAUUCCAACAAAUAUUAUAUCUCAUUUUUAGGAUGAAUUUGUAAGCAUUUCACAAACAAAAAUUGGGAAGAACAUGAUACAAGCUGGAACAAAAAAUGAAGUUGGAGAGCAAAUUUUGAUUAUGUUGGGUUGAAACAUGGAAAUGGAAUAUCAGAGUGGCGGAUCUGGAAACACGAGAAACUGACAGGCACACGGGACGCACUGACACAGCGAAAAAUAGGACAAAUUCAGCUAGGAGCUGUAACUUUUCUAAUUGGCAUUUUUCCGCAAUGAUUGCAGUUGAACACGCUGCGAUAAAAGCUAAUCGAAUUAUGCUUUUGGCAAAUGCCGCAACAGCUGCACGAAACCAGCAAAAACUAACAAACAAUUACGGAUGCCCCGGGGGUGGGAUUUGGAUUUGGACUGGCUCUGGCCCCAGUCCGUGGGUGGCUUUGGGUGGUUGGGCGAUCGGGCGGUGGCCUGUUAUGUGCAGUGUCAUGUCAACGCCCAGGCAAGCAGAAAGCGGGGGUCCGGGCUGGGACAACGGACUUCGGACAGAGCUUCCGGCAAAAAGUUACUGGGCAAAGGAAAGAGCCAGAAAGGAUUUGUGUAUGCGAAAAAAUUUUACAAGCCAUUAACAAAAAUGUUGCGCCUCGGCAUAUGCCACAUAAAAUUCACUCAGCAGCAACAGAAGCGACGCGGCGCUCUGGUAGCAACAAUGAAUGAAGGAGUAAGGGAACUAAGUCACUUUAAGUGAGCGGAGGGAAUUUUUAAUACACUUCCUUGGUUCAAUUACUUGUUAUCUUCGAAAGAGUUGCAUGAUUUCAUCUCCGAUGGUGUUUUUCAUUAAACUUGGAAGAAUUAAUCAGAAAGGUUU
rnacentral:sRNA from 1 species